GACCAAAAUGUAACCUAUUCAUCUUGCCUUUUUGUUAUUAGUAUCUGUGCCCGCUCUGGUUUGGUUUUUUCUUGCAAUAAUUCAUAGUUCUUAUAAAAUCUAGCAAUUUUGGAAACCGGCUCAUUUUUUUCUGCAGUUGACACGCAGAUGCCAUUGGCUCAGGAGGACAGCAUCGACUUCGUUAUUGGUCAUCAAAGGACGAUGGAAAGGCCUCUUCGGAGUCUACAUGGGGUCUGCAGUGAGCGAGGACGAGGGAAGAAAAGGAUGAAGGAUGUGCGGCGGCACCUCUCCCAGAAACUGGCGGAUUGCCAGAGAAAGUAGAACAAUGCUCAGUUCGAACUAUAAAAAAUUUGAAUGACA
rnacentral:lncRNA from 1 species